AACGAACGCUGGCGGCAGGCCUAACACAUGCAAGUCGAGCGAGGACUUCGGUCCUAGCGGCGGACGGGUGAGUAACGCGAGGGAACGUGCCCUUUGCUUCGGAAUAGCCCUGGGAAACUGGGAGUAAUACCGGAUGAGCCCUUUGGGGGAAAGAUUUAUCGGCGAAGGAUCGGCCCGCGUUGGAUUAGGUAGUUGGUGGGGUAAUGGCCUACCAAGCCGACGAUCCAUAGCUGGUUUGAGAGGAUGAUCAGCCACACUGGGACUGAGACACGGCCCAGACUACUGCGUGAGGCAGCAGUGGGGAUUCUUAGACGAUGGGGGAAACCCUGAUCUAGCCAUGCCGCGUGAGCGAUGAAGGCCUUAGGGUUGUAAAGCUCUUUCAGCUGGGAAGAUAAUGCCGGUACCAGCAGAAGAAGCCCCGGCUAACUCCGUG
rnacentral:rRNA from 1 species